rnacentral:lncRNA from 14 species
CUUCUAUUUACACUGCAGUUACACUCUUGGUUGGUUGCAGAGCGCUUGGUCUCAAGAUGUUGGUCCUGAGAGUUUAUUUUUUAUUUCCUACUUUAGAACUACUAACCUGAAGAUAAGCGUCUCGUGGUGAUCCCAUUCCCCACCUGUUACAGUGGUGGACUUGGAGAAGGAAAUCCCAUGCAUGGAUUUCUGCAAUGCAAAUUUACCACCAGCAUCCAGACAAACUGGUUCCAGGCUGUCCAUAUCUACCAUUGUGGAUUCUAUGUGUUGUUUAGGCCAAAAGGCCGAAGAAACCCUGGGACUCAUAGGAGCAAAUAGGCUUCAUGAUGUCCUGACAAAAAAUAAUAUGUUCAACAGGAAAAAAAUUGUUGGGAACAUCCUUGGAGAAAUAAGGCAUGUUCCAAAGAUUUGUUCUGCCAAGAGUCCUGCAGGUCCUGACAACCUCGCUUCUGCCCUUUGGAGGAGAGAGAGUGAUCCUGCCUUGUCCAUGUCCGUGGCAUCUGACACCCACAAAUGGCAAGGGGAGAGCUCCUCUAGGUGCUUCUCUCCAGAUUUAGACGAGAUGCUGAAGAUCAGCUGGCUGUGGAAGUCUGCCCAACAGUGCUAUGCUGAGGAGGACUACAACAGCCACAAAAAUUCUGAGGAGGCAGAGAGCACUGUCUCACUGAGUGGCUCCUCUGAGGAUGACCUGUCCUACCUGGAGGAUAUCAUUCCCGACUCUAACUCGGACUCACAGCAGGCUGGUGUGGAGGUAGGGACCAAGAAGACCAACAGUACCAUCGGGAUCAGGUACACAUCCCUAAGUGCUGUAUUAUUCCUUGAAGACACAAACUGCAAACAGAUCCCAGAACUUCAAGAUGAUACCAAGGUUACCAACUGCAUCGGUGUAUCCAGUGACGUGAGUGAAACUGACCUACAGUUCAGUGAGAGAAUACGUGAUACUACAUACUCCGUGAUCUCUGCCCAGAGUAGGAACGCUAACUAUGAAGAUGACAAUGGCAUAACCCUAGAGGAGUCACCAUCUUUAUCUAGCAAGGACCAGUUCUGGGAGCUGCCCAAAGACCCCAUAAAGAAGCAAAGAAGGCAGAUUAGUCAGUUCUUUUACAGUUUAUUCUGUUGCCUCCCCACCCCGAAGAAAAGAGAGACAACCUCCAGGGCUGAAGAUCUUGCCUGGGUCUGUGAUUCUUAAGCCCUGGAUUUCCGUUCAGCCUGGUAUGGUCCACCAGCUACAGGAGGGAGCCAGGCCAGAACAGGAUAGAGCUUUGUACCACAAGACCUGUUGUUACCUGUCAGACACCUACAGCCUGGGCACGAGCUCUCUACCCUCCUCUCCCUGCAGUGUAGACUAUUGGCUGCCUACUUCUUAACUUACCGUGCCCCAGCACUGAGGCUGGACAGAGCAGUCGAUCACUUGUUAUGAAGAGACAGCUGUCCAGAUGCAGCAAACCUCGUGAGAGAAUUUUGUGUUUCCCAUGAUAGCUCAUCACCUAAUUUUGAUCCUUAUCAAUGACCAGAUGCAAUGAACUGCAUGUACUCGGUAGCCCAUGAGGUAAGGAGGCACAAGAAGAGGUCUGGGGACGAGGAGGGGAGGGGCACGUGGGACAUGUCAAAAGGGAAGAAAAGCAGUUGGAGGGUGAGGAAGGAAAGAGCAUGAAGUGGGGAAGGAGGAGGACCUACCCAUAGGAAGUUCCAGCUCUGGUCGGGCAGCUGAGAAGAACAGACAGGCAUGUUGGGUGGGGUUACAGACCUAAGCCUCCAUGAAAACAUUAGGAGAAGAGGACUCUUGCAUACACCGUUAUCCACUAAGAAGCGGGGUUUUUUUGUUUGUUUGUUUGUUUUGUUUUUGAGUAGUUGCUCAUGUAGAGGAGCCAUAUUUGGGUUCCUGCACCCACACUGAUGAUCAUAAUCAUCCCACAAGGUCAGAACCGGCUGGAUCAUGAAUCUAUGUCUCAGAAAAAUAGAAAAUAGCACACACACCCCACAAUUCCCACUGAGAGAAAACAGAAAACAUCGCCCCUGGUCUGCCAUAUGUGAC